AAUGAAGAACGCAGCGAAAUGCGAUAAGUAAUGUGAAUUGCAGAAUUCAGUGAAUCAUCGAAUCUUUGAACGCACAUUGCGCCCCCUGGUAUUCCGGGGGGCAUGCCUGUUCGAGCGUCAUUUCACCACUCAAGCCUCGCUUGGUAUUGGGCAACGCGGUCCGCCGCGUGCCUCAAAUCGACCGGCUGGGUCUUCUGUCCCCUAAGCGUUGUGGAAACUAUUCGCUAAAGGGUGUUCGGGAGGCUACGCCGUAAAACAACCCCAUUUCUAAGGUUGACCUCGGAUCAGGUAGGGAUACCCGCUGAACUUAAGCAUAUCAAUAGCGGAGGA
rnacentral:misc_RNA from 1 species